rnacentral:rRNA from 1 species
UGCCAGCAGCAGCGGUAAUACGGAGGGUGAAAGCGUUAAUCGGAAUUCCUGGGCGUAAAGCGCGCGUAGGCGGUUAUGUAAGUCGGAUGUGAAAGCCCUGGGCUUAACCUGGGAAUUGCAUUCGAUACUGCGUGACUAGAGUAUGGUAGAGGGUAGUGGAAUUCCUGGUGUAGCGGUGAAAUGCGUAGAUAUCAGGAGGAACAUCAGUGGCGAAGGCGGCUACCUGGACCAAUACUGACGAUGAGGUGCGCAAGCGUGGGGUGCAAACAGGAUUAGAUA